AUUUCCAGGUGAAAAAUUGGCUAGUGUCAUUGACCAUUGAUAUACCACAGGAAAAGGGCACAGUCACCACCAGUAGGGUGUUUGUCUUUUAUCAAGGCAAGGAUCAGUGAGUACGUGGUUCUGAGUUUGUAAAGGGUGCUCUUUAUUUCAGAUGUUCUGCCCAUGCAGAAGAGCAAAGAAGAAAACUUCCUACCCAGGCAGAGCUUGGAUUUGUCAGAAAAGCAACAAGAACACUGACAAAAAUUGUCAAAAUGAAAAUGUUCAGAACUCUGGAAAUUACAGAAUUGCAAAGUUUAAGGAGCAUCUGUUCAAGAAAGUCAGCUGGGUCAUGGUUUCUGGGAAGGUUUGGCUGAUGGACUAUACCCGCAGGACACUGAGUGGUGCCCCUUUGGCUUCAGGUGGCAUUUCUAAGGCAAGUGCACCUCCUCUCUGGUCCUGUCUUCCUCUCGGGGGCCCAUCGUGGUUGCAGCUUCUCUGGGAUGGCUCCAGCACCCGGGAUUUGGUAACACUCUCCUCUAUGUUUUCCUCCAACCAACGGUGAUAGAGACUUCCUGUUUUUUUGCUAAAUUCUGCAGCAUCUCACCCUGCACCAUUUAGCAUCUCAGCUUUCGUCAUCGUCUGUUCCACAAGUGUGUUCAGUUCUUCUGUUGGAAAUACCCACGGUAGUCUGUUCUCUGUCUGGACACUGACUGAUACACAACAUUCUUCCAGAAAUUCUCUAUGAUUCUAUAGUCAUAUGCAUAAAUAGCUUUUUUAUGUAAAUGAGGUCAUAAUAGUUAUGCGUUGCCUUUCUAUUUUACCAUCCAGCCUGGAGAUCUUUCCCAUUAGCCUGUGUAGAUUGACAGCUGUCAGUUUUUUUCAAAUAGCUGCAAGUCAUUCCAUUGUAGGGACAUACUGUAGUGUAUUUAACCAGGGUUCUACUGGUGGAACUUGAAGUCCCCUCCAGUUUUAUGUUAUUAAUAACACUGCUACCUAUAUACAUAUAUACACAUCAUCGUAUAUAUGGGGACGUUUGGAAAGCUGAGAGAAAUUGCCACAUUGGUUUCCGAAGAGACGAUCCGAAUUUCUACUCCAAGUCAAUGUAUAAGUGUACUUGUUUCCUCAUAUUCUUACUCAUUUUGUGUAUUAUUAAACCUUCAAUUCUUUCCAAUCUGAUAGAGACAGAAAAGGCCAGAUCUCAUUUUUUAAGGGCAGUUUUCAAGUAAUGGAUGUAAUUAAGGGGACCUGUGUUCUUCUGUAGAGAAGCCUUGGGCAUGACCUGGAAGUCAGAGGUCAAACAAAGCAGGAGCCUGCCGUUGGCCUCAUAACAGUGGAAAGCCCGGACCAGGGCCUGUGCAGAGUAUGGAGAUACUCUUACUUCAGUGUGGGCCUGGAGCAAGCCGAUUCUGAGGACACAUGCUGUCUUGUGGAGGUGUGGUGUGUGGUGUGUGUGUGUGCAGGUGUGCUGGCAGGCUUCUCUUGUAUGGGAUUUAAUGUUUACUCCCUGGAACAUAAGGGUCAAAGCCCACCAUAAGCCCUCUUGCUGGAGAAUUUCUGUGGAGUCAGCCUUAAGUAGCUUAGACUUCCAAAAGAAUUAACUGCUGAAGAUGAGCUCCUAGAACAGUCCCCAAGUGAGACUGUGGUUUUUAGGCACCCAGUCAAUAGGGUUUUUCUUCAUGGGAUUGCGAGUCCCACACUGAAGCCUUGAUGAAAAGAUGAUUCUCUCGGGCGCCUGAGUGGCUCAGUUGGUUAAGCGACUGCCUUCGGCUCAGGUCAUGAUCCUGGAGUCCCUGGAUCGAGUCCCGCAUCGGGCUCCCUGCUCAGCAGGGAGUCUGCUUUGCCCUCUGACCGUAUCCCCUCUCAUGUGCUCUCUCUCAUUCUCUCUCUCUCAAAUAAAUAAAUAAAAUCUUAAAAAAAAAAAGAUUAUUCUCUCAAAGGAGAGCAGCCUCCAGGAAGGAAGAGCAAGCCUUGGACUACAGCUGUAGCCCCGGGAGUUCCAGACUGUGCCUGGAAUCAAGUAACCACGAACACGGCCCCGCUUUCUGAGAGGUGCCCACCCAUCCUGGACUAUGCAGUGGCCUCAGAGCCUUGGACCCUGGAGGUAAACAGCCGCCUCAUCGUCUUGACUCCACAAGGAUCAUCUUCUAGGGGGGAAGAAUUCAUGGUCUGCUGAACGGAACAGGAUGAAGCUGGAAAGGAAAUGAAUGGAUCCCAUCCAAGAUACCAUAUCACCUUCACUUAUCAUGACUCGGUAGGCUCCUCUUGGCUGUGACUUUCCUUGCUUUUGAUGACCUUGACAGUUUUGAAGAAUGCUGGUCAGGAAAUCACAAACUUAAAUGCCUGCGGGUGCCAAGUACAAAGUGGAAGUGAGUGAAAUUCCCUGAGUCUGAGACAAAGGAGAGUGGCGGCAAUUGUGAUGUGCUGAAGGUAACAUAACCACUGAUAUAGGCCUUCAAAUGGAAAAGUUCACUUUGAGUAGGAACCGUAAAAUCCAUAUCUGUAAGUGUCCUUUUCAUGGGAGUUAUACGUUUGCAAACUUUGGGUAACAAUGGUAUCCUAAUUACUCAGGCUGGACAUCUUGGAGGAAUUUCUCUCCUUCCUUUCUUCCCCCCAUCAUUAGUUUUCUUGUCAUUUCAUUCAUGGCCAAAUGUAAGGCUUCUCUCUCCAUGCUUCUCUCAUCUGUCCUUUUCAUCUUAUUCUUAUUGAUCUUGGUUUAGACUCCAUAUUAGCUUGCUCAUGGACUAUUUCUUUGCUUCUCCCUCUGAGCUCUCCUGCAUCCUCUGUUGAAAAUGUGUCCACAUUUGUCUAUGGUGAGAAGCCAAUGACCUCAGCUUGGUUUUUGAGGCCAUUUCCUUUCUGCCUUAUCUUUUCUUUUCCGCAGAACCUACUUCUAAUCAUCCUCUGAUAUUUGCUGCCUUCUGUGUCUUCUAUUUUCUACUAUAGUUAUUUAUAUUCAUGUCUCAGUUAUCCUGACAGUUGGUGAACUUUGACUAUUUUAUUUAAUGUAGGUAGGCAUUCUUUAGAAACUACCAUGUUAAACAGGUACUUUGGAUGUGUUUUAGGUGCUUUGGACAUGGUCUUUAUCCUCAAAGAGGUCCUAGGUGAGGCAUGAAGACAGUCACACAAACAAAUAAUUAAAACAUUAAGUCAUUAAGCCUGAUAGUAAAGAUCUGUCUAAAAUGCUAUGGGAAUGCAGAAAGGGGAAUCAUUAAUUCUGAAGAGGUUGUAGGGUGGGUGAAGGAUCAUGGACAGUGACUCAUGUGCAGAACUUAGAACAAGGUCCCCUUGGUGUAGGAACCACCAGGAUGGAGGGAAGAGAAGGAAAAUAACUGUAGGCGUUCCAGAUGACCGAAACCGAAUCUUGGAAAUAAUGUAAUAUAAGGAAAUGUGGGAGGUUUUAGGGCUGUUUGCCUGGAGAACAUUUGAAGAGAAAAUGGACUCUUCCCUAGGUAAUAAUAAUGACUAAUAUGUGGAAUUUAUAGAGAAAUUUUGGGUUCAAUGUGAUCUUUUCUGUAACGAAAGGCUCUGACCUUGGGCAUGGGUUGGUCCAGUGGUGCACUCUGUGUCAGGUGGAGGCUGCAUGAGCAUCAGAAACUAUGGAAGGGUAGAUUUCAGAAUAGAAAUUUUGAGCACAAAAUACUUUGAAAAUAAUUUUUAAGGG